UAAACAUAGAAAGCCUACAGAACAGUACAGACCUUUUGGCUCACAAAGCUGUGCUGAACAUGAUCUUCGUUUAGAAAUUACCCAGGGCUACCCAUAUCCCUCUAUUUGUUGAAACUCCAGGUCCCUAUCCAGGAGUCUUUUAAAAGACCCUAUCAUAUUUUAAAUCGAAGCAAGAGGUGGGGAGGGAAGAGGUAAAAGAAGCUCGGAGAGAAGCUGUUUUUAUUUAAUUGAUAGGGGCAAAGAAGCUAGACUGCGCAGGCGCGUGACGUAGCGCGCCAAAGGUUUAAAAGAAAGACUGCAAUAUACAGCGGCCAUCGUCGGAGUGGACUGAGGCAGAGUGGGACAGCUUUGGCUCAAUCAGGCUUCGGCGAGAACGGGCAGAGGCGAGGUUUGAACGGGGCGCGACCGCAAGCGCGUGAAAGUCGGCUUCUGAGAUCAGCGUGGGAAUUUAAAAAACAAGCAGUGGCUGAGUAUGAACUUCACUCCAGCUGAGGUACUGCCUUGGAGUGUUUCCAAUGUGCCGGCAGUCGAUCUCUGUGUUUGAAGGAAACAUGCAAAAGUAAUCAGCUGUGUUACUCUGCAAAUAUUAAUGCAGGUACAGUAACUACCUUCGUCUCUGGAUGCGUAGACAAGGAA